AACUAAUGAGCUUGAAUAAGCAUAUAUUUUGAAAAUAUAAGAUAAGUAAUAAUUCUUAUUAGUUU
rnacentral:tRNA from 1 species